rnacentral:rRNA from 1 species
CCUACGGGUGGCAGCAGUGAGGAAUAUUGGUCAAUGGGCUUACGCCUGAACCAGCCAAGUCGCGUGAGGGAAGACUGCCCUAUGGGUUGUAAACCUCUUUUGUCAGGGAGCAAUUGGCGCUACGUGUAGCGUUAUCGAGAGUACCUGAAGAAAAAGCAUCGGCUAACUCCGUGCCAGCCGCCGCGGUAAUACGUAGGAUGCGAGCGUUAUCCGGCUUUAUUGGGUUUAAAGGGUGCGUAGGCGGACGGCAAAGUCAGCGGGAAAAUCGCGGGGCUAAACCUGGCUCCGCAGUUGACACUGGCGUGCUAGAGUGGGCGAGAGGUAUGCGGAAUGCGUGGUGUAGCGGUGAAAUGCAUAGAGAUCACGCAGAACUCCGAUGGCGAAGGCAGCACACCGGCGACCAACUGACGCUGAAGUACGAAAGCGUGGGUAUCGAACAGGAUUAGAUACCCCUGUAGUC